CAGUAAGCUGGGAUCCUUGAGCUAGUGAGGGUGUGUGUGUUGCGUUCCUCUCCUCCCCUUCUGCCAGUGUGUGUUCGCGGGCUCUCCCUCGGGCUUAUCCAGAAGCAAGAUGGCGCCCCUUGCAACGAUCGAAACCAUCUCUGUUGUACGACCACUGAAGGUGAGUUCGUUCGUUCGUUUGUUCACCGUUACCUGUGCGAGCCCAUCCAGGUAACAGCGUCAUCAUCUUCAGGUAAGGUUCAUCUCACCUGUUCCCUAUAUUACCUUUCCUAACCCUACCUUACCUUACCUUACCUUCCCUUUGUUUAACUUGUUCCCCUUUUUCCCCUAAUUAAAGGUAAGUUACAGGUGAGGACUAAUUAAGAAGACUCAGGUAUGUGUUGACAGGUGAGAAAAGGUGGUAAUUAAGUAUUUAUUGAUUGACUUGUUUGUUUAUUUGUUUAUUUGCUUGGUAGAAAUAAUGUGUAAAGGAAAGGAAUAGAAAAGAAAGGAAAGGAAAAGUGUGAUGAUGGAGGGAGGAAAAGCACAGAAAAGAAGAAGGAGAGAAAGAAACAUUUGCUUGGUAGAAAUAAUGUGUCUGUGAAGAAAAGGAGAGGAAAAGAAAGGAAUGGAAAGGAAAAGCGUGAUGAUGGAUUUACACGAGGAAUAGAGAAAAGGGGAAAGGCUGAGAAAAGAAGAGAAAGAAAUAACCAUUGAAAGAAAAGGGGAAUAGAAAAAAAAGAAGGAAAGAAACACCAAAAGAAGAAGGAAAAAUAAGAGAAAAAAGAAAGAAAAAUGAUAUGAAGGAAGGAAAUGAAGACAGAAAGAUAGAGGAAAGACAGACAAGGAAGAAAAACAACAACAACAAAGAAAAAAUGUAUAGAAACGGACGUGUAGAAACCAAGGCUGAUGAAGAAAAGAAGAAAAUAUAGAAGAAAAUACAAGGAAAAAAUGAAAAAUAUAGAAACGGACAUGAAGAAAGCAAGUCAGAUGAAGAAAAGAAGAAAAAAACAAGAAAAAUGGAAGAAAAUAAACACAGAAUUAAGGAAGAAAAGACACUCGAAGCUUAUCAAGAAGAAAAUUUGAAAGAAAAGUGGAUUAGGAAGAAGAAAAGAAGAAACAGAAUUACAAGAAAAAGAAAAAUAAGUGUUUGGAGUUAUUUUUACAUUCACCCUUGAAAAAGAAAGUGUGUGUGUGUGUGUGUGUGUGUGUGUGUGUGUGUGUGUGUAUGCAACCACCAGACCAUUUACAGGCACCAGGUCAAGCAAACACACACACACACACACACACACAUAUUUAUCCUUCACUUGAGUGCACGCGCGUGAAUGCAUAAGUAAGCGGCGAGUGUGCGGGAAGGCGUGGGAGGAGGCGUGUGUGUGUGUGUGUGUGUGUGUGUGUGUGUGUGUGUAUUUUUCUCUGAGAUGAAAUUAGUGCGCGGGGGAGGAAGGGCGGGGGCGUAUUGUUGUUUCAAAGGGCGUGUGAGGCGUGGGAAAUUAAGGAGGCGUGGGAUUGAUACUAAGAGUGCGUGGGAAUUCGCUGCAGGGAAGACACUAUUGGUGGAUGUAGUGUGCUUGUGUGUG